UACGUAGGGUGCAAGCGUUGUCCGGAAUUAUUGGGCGUAAAGAGCUCGUAGGCGGUCUGUCGCGUCUGCUGUGAAAACUCAGGGCUUAACCCUGAGCUUGCAGUGGGUACGGGCAGACUAGAGUGCGGUAGGGGAGACUGGAAUUCCUGGUGUAGCGGUGAAAUGCGCAGAUAUCAGGAGGAACACCAGUGGCGAAGGCGGCUCACUGGACCGGUACUGACGCUGAUGCGCGAAAGCGUGGGGAGCAAACAGG
rnacentral:rRNA from 1 species